UAAUGGAUUAUGCCCAAGAAGUGAAAAUGAGGUCUGUGAAACAGCAGACCUGGAAGGAAACUGCUCCACUGAAGAUCAAGAAGCAACGGGUUCAAAAAAGUUAUUUCCAUUGAUGAUGAAAAGCAGAGACCAGUCAGGGACUAUAAAUGACCAGCUCAGCAAUUCAAAACCAAGAGCUGUAUGUAACCUGGAAGAAAGGAAAAAGGGCCAACAGGACACGUAUUAUUCACUGAGGACUGAGAAGGCAGCAACACAUGUGGAAUUCAAACCUUGGAAUUUCAAAGAAGUCAGUCCUUAUGGAGUCUACCAACAAGCAAG